GGUAUGGCUGUUCGCCAUUUAAAGUGGUACGCGAGCUGGGUUUAGAACGUCGUGAGACAGUUCGGUCCCUAUCUGCCGUGGGCGCUGGAGAACUGAGGGGGGCUGCUCCUAGUACGAGAGGACCGGAGUGGACGCAUCACUGGUGUUCGGGUUGUCAUGCCAAUGGCACUGCCCGGUAGCUAAAUGCGGAAGAGAUAAGUGCUGAAAGCAUCUAAGCACGAAACUUGCCCCGAGAUGAGUUCUCCCUGASMCUUWRAGKSUCCUGAAGGAACGUUGAAGACGACGACGUUGAUAGGCCGGGUGUGUAAGCGCAGCGAUGCGUUGAGCUAACCRGUACUAAUGAACCGUGAGGCUUAACCUU
rnacentral:rRNA from 1 species